AUACGUAGGUGGCAAGCGUUGUCCGGAUUUACUGGGUGUAAAGGGAGCGCAGGCGGGAGUGUAAGUCAGAUGUGAAAUACAUGGGCUCAACCCAUGGGCUGCAUUUGAAACUGCAUUUCUUGAGUGAGGGAGAGGUAAGCGGAAUUCCUGGUGUAGCGGGGAAAUGGGUAGAUAUCAGGAGGAACACCGGUGGCGAAGGCGGCUAUCUGGACAGUAACCGACGCUGAGGCGCGAAAGCACGGGGAGCAAACAGGAUUAGAUACCCUGGUAGUCCGUGCCGUAAACGAUGAAUACUAGGUGUAGGGGGUAUCGACUCCCUCUGUGCCGCAGUUAACACAUUAAGUAUUCCGCCUGGGGAGUACGGCCGCAAGGUUGAAACUCAAAUGAAUUGACGGGG
rnacentral:rRNA from 1 species